rnacentral:rRNA from 1 species
UGGGGAAUUUUGGACAAUGGGCGAAAGCCUGAUCCAGCAAUGCCGCGUGUGUGAAGAAGGCCUUCGGGUUGUAAAGCACUUUUGUCCGGAAAGAAAUCCUUGGCUCUAAUACAGUCGGGGGAUGACGGUACCGGAAGAAUAAGCACCGGCUAACUACGUGCCAGCAGCCGCGGUAAUACGUAGGGUGCAAGCGUUAAUCGGAAUUACUGGGCGUAAAGCGUGCGCAGGCGGUUUGCUAAGACCGAUGUGAAAUCCCCGGGCUCAACCUGGGAACUGCAUUGGUGACUGGCAGGCUAGAGUAUGGCAGAGGGGGGUAGAAUUCCACGUGUAGCAGUGAAAUGCGUAGAGAUGUGGAGGAAUACCGAUGGCGAAGGCAGCCCCCUGGGCCAAUACUGACGCUCAUGCACGAAAGCGUGGGGAGCAAACAGGAUUAGAUACCCUGGUAGUCCACGCCCUAAACGAUGUCAACUAGUUGUUGGGGAUUCAUUUCCUUAGUAACGUAGCUAACGCGUGAAGUUGACCGCCUGGGAGUACGGUCGCAAGAUUAAAACUUAAAGGAAUUGACGGGGUCAUAGCUGUUUCCU